rnacentral:rRNA from 1 species
UUUCUGGUGGUCAUGGCGGAGGGGCCAUACCCGAUCCCAUCCCGAACUCGGAAGUCAAGCCCUCCUGCGCCGAUGGUACUGCAGGGGUCACCCUGUGGGAGAGUAGGUCGUCGCCAGAUC